CCGAAUGGGGAAACCCAGUGUGAUUCGUCACACUAUCAUUAACUGAAUCCAUAGGUUAAUGAGGCGAACCGGGGGAACUGAAACAUCUAAGUACCCCGAGGAAAAGAAAUCAACCGAGAUUCCCCCAGUAGCGGCGAGCGAACGGGGAGGAGCCCAGAGCCUGAAUCAGCAUGUGUGUUAGUGGAAGCGUCUGGAAAGGCGCGCGAUACAGGGUGACAGCCCCGUACACAAAAGCGCAUGUGCUGUGAGCUCGAUGAGUAGGGCGGGACACGUGGUAUCCUGUCUGAAUAUGGGGGGACCAUCCUCCAAGGCUAAAUACUCCUGACUGACCGAUAGUGAACCAGUACCGUGAGGGAAAGGCGAAAAGAACCCCGGCGAGGGGAGUGAAAAAGAACCUGAAACCGUGUACGUACAAGCAGUGGGAGCACCCUUUGGGGUGUGACUGCGUACCUUUUGUAUAAUGGGUCAGCGACUUAUAUUCUGUAGCAAGGUUAACCGAAUAGGGGAGCCGGAGGGAAACCGAGUCUUAACCGGGCGUUAAGUUGCAGGGUAUAGACCCGAAACCCGGUGAUCUAGCCAUGGGCAGGUUGAAGGUUGGGUAACACUAACUGGAGGACCGAACCGACUAAUGUUGAAAAAUUAGCGGAUGACCUGUGGCUGGGGGUGAAAGGCCAAUCAAACCGGGAGAUAGCUGGUUCUCCCCGAAAGCUAUUUAGGUAGCGCCUCGUGAAUUCAUCUCCGGGGGUAGAGCACUGUUUCGGCUAGGGGGCCAUCCCGGCUUACCAACCCGAUGCAAACUGCGAAUACCGGAGAAUGUUAUCACGGGAGACACACGGCGGGUGCUAACGUCCGUCGUGAAGAGGGAAACAACCCAGACCGCCAGCUAAGGUCCCAAAGUCAUGGUUAAGUGGGAAACGAUGUGGGAAGGCCCAGACAGCCAGGAUGUUGGCUUAGAAGCAGCCAUCAUUUAAAGAAAGCGUAAUAGCUCACUGGUCGAGUCGGCCUGCGCGGAAGAUGUAACGGGGCUAAACCAUGCACCGAAGCUGCGGCAGCGACACUCAGGUGUUGUUGGGUAGGGGAGCGUUCUGUAAGCCUGUGAAGGUGUGUCGUGAGGCAUGCUGGAGGU
rnacentral:rRNA from 1 species